rnacentral:lncRNA from 1 species
GCCGUAACUCGCAGGCGCGGAGAUACCUGGGAAAAGGCAGCCUCCUCACGCCGGCCUGCGAAUGCUUCGGAAUAUUGCACGUUUGUCUGGCGCGGGUAAGCUUUGUCGUGAGCUCGCCUGCGUUUUUCCUUUGGCUUCUCCUUCUCGUGAGAUUGCUGCCCGGACUUGGCUUCUAGGUCUCUGAGCCCAGGUUUCUCUUCCGGAAGCUGCUGGAAGGAUCCGGAGCUCCCUUGCGCUGGGGCAGGCAGGAGGCGGGGUCAGCGAAGCCACGGCCACGCGUUCGGGACGUUUUGGUGGUAAAGAUAAUAGUAAACUUGUUUGCGUGACAUUUCACUAUUUGGGUGGUCGCUCAGUAACUGUCGAACCAAGUGGGUAGGGUAGGAUGAUUUAAGCUGAUGUACAGAUGUGGGAAAUGAGGUUAGGAAAGGUUAAAUGACUUGGGUAGGGUCACUUAGCAAGCUAGCGGCAAAAGACGGAAUCUCCCUAUUUGGUGUGGUUUAUCUUACAAACAGCUGACUUGCUUUUUUUUUUUUUCUGUUACAUUCAGCAGGCGAUUAACCAUAGCAUGCUUCGUAAGCUGUCGUUUAUUUAGAUUUCUUCUCCAUUUUAGCGAUAUUAAGGACAACCUGGUUUCUAGUACCGGUUCUGCCACUAAUUUUUGUAACCUCGGGGGCUGGUCUAGGUGACGGUGAAAGAUUGCUAUGAGAAAACAUGAAAAUCUUUUACUUUGCUUUCUUCUUUCACAAUCAUGUUUUCUCCAGACACUAAAGUGUUCUCAAGUAUAACUUUCUGAGAAAUAGUGGAGUUUUAACUCCUCAGCUUUUAAAAGUAAACCCAGCCAGAUCUCCUUUAUAUUUUUAUCAAAAGUGGAUGAAAAUUAUUUGUUUGAUGUCUACUUGUACCUUCUAAAGCAUCAAAGGAAACUCACAAAAUCUUUUAGCCUGUUUUUAAAAAUUGUUUUUAAUCACACAUACUGCCAAAACCCAUAAAAUAGUUUAAAAGGGGGGGGGGCAAUAAUGAAAAGUAACAAUUCUCUUUCUUCUACUUCAGAUUGGAUUGACAGUCACUUUCAACUUCUGGGAGCUGUUUGUUACAGUAGUUAGCUUCAUGUAGUAUGUGAAGGUGUAAACAGUAUGUCUCUCUCCGCCCCCUCACUUUUGCCAUUUUAAAAAUUAUCCAUUUAAAACUAUGGAGAAUAUGCUGUAAUAGGAUUUAGCUUUGUCUCACACCAUCCCCAACCCUCAUUUGCCAUACUCCCUAUAUAUUUCUAUUCGUGCUUUAGUUAAAUCAAGUGAUAUGUACAUAUUAUGAUGAAAAUACUAUUCACUCUGGAUAGAAUCUUUUCAAGGAUGCUGUGCUAAGUUAUUGCUUUGCUUCCCAUUUUUUUUUGUACACAGAUCUGAAGAUCUUUCCUGGAUGUGGACUAUAAUUUUUCAAAACCACUGUGUGGCAGAAGCACUGAAUACAUUUGUUGAAAAAUGUUUGGGAGAUUGACUCUUCCACAACUGCUUUUUGCUAGCAUCCUUGGAAUUGCUGGAGGAAUGUAUAUUUAUCAACCAAUAUUUGAACAGUACUACCGAGAUAAGAUGGAAUUUAAAAAAAAGUUGAAAUUGACACAAGAAUCAGAAGAGAAGAAAAGUUAAUACUGCAUGGAGUUGAACUGCAAUUGUUUAAAGUUCUAUUGAAAUUAUACACUGACUACAAAUAAUGUAGUAAGAACUUCUCAAAUAUAUUUUAAACAUAAAUAAAUCAUAGGCCAUGAUUUUAAAACAAACA